rnacentral:rRNA from 1 species
GACGAACGCUGGCGGCGUGCUUAACACAUGCAAGUCGAACGGAAACGCGCUUCUUUUUUGGGGUUCUUGUGUGGCGAAAGGGUGAGUAACUCGUGAGUUGCCCGCCCUUGACGGUGGGAUAACUUCAGGAAACUCGGGCUUAUACCGGCUAGGACCCCCGGCUUCAUUGUGGGUGUUGGAAAAUGUCGGCGGUUGGGGAUGUACUUGCGGCUUAUCGGCUUGUUGGUGGGGUAGUGACUUACCAUGGCUUUGAGGGGUUGCUGGCCUGAGGGGGUGACCGGCCCCAUUGGGACUGAGGUAGGGCCCAGAGUCCUAGGGGAGGCAGUGGUGGGGAACAUAGCGCAAGGGGCGGCAGACAGAUGCAGCAACGACGCGAGCGGGAUGACGGCGUUCGGGUUGUCAACGGCUUUCGCCUGUGACGACGCGUGAGUGACGGUAAUGGGUAAAGAAGCACCGGCUAACUACGUG